rnacentral:rRNA from 1 species
UCAUGCACGAAAGCGUGGGUAGCAAACAGGAUUAGAUACCCUGGUAGUCCACGCCCUAAACGAUGUCAACUAGGUGUUGGGGUGGGUAAAACCAUUUAGUACCGGAGCUAACGCGUGAAGUUGACCGCCUGGGGAGUACGGCCGCAAGGUUAAAACUCAAAGGAAUUGACGGGGACCCGCACAAGCGGUGGAUGAUGUGGAUUAAUUCGAUGCAACGCGAAAAACCUUACCUACCCUUGACAUGUCCAGAAGCUCUUAGAGAUUUGAGUGUGCCCGAAAGGGAACUGGAACACAGGUGCUGCAUGGCUGUCGUCAGCUCGUGUCGUGAGAUGUUGGGUUAAGUCCCGCAACGAGCGCAACCCUUGUCGUUAAUUGCCAUCAUUCAGUUGGGCACUUUAACGAGACUGCCGGUGACAAACCGGAGGAAGGUGGGGAUGACGUCAAGUCCUCAUGGCCCUUAUGGGUAGGGCUUCACACGUCAUACAAUGGUCGGUACAAAGGGUUGCCAACCCGCGAGGGGGAGCUAAUCCCAGAAAGCCGAUCGUAGUCCGGAUCGUAGGCUGCAACUCGCCUGCGUGAAGUCGGAAUCGCUAGUAAUCGUGGAUCAGCAUGUCACGGUGAAUACGUUCCCGGGUCUUGUACACACCGCCCGUCACACCAUGGGAGCGGGUUCCGCCAGAAGUAGGUAGCCUAACCGCAAGGAGGGCGCUUACCACGGCGGGGUUCGUGACUGGGGUGAAGUCGUAACAAGGUAGCCG